UACGUCGGUGGCGAGCGUUGUCCGGAUUUAUUGGGUUUAAAGGGUGCGUAGGCGGCCCUAUAAGUCAGUGGUGAAAUAUCGCAGCUUAACUGUGAGGGUGCCAUUGAUACUGUAGGGCUUGAGUGAAUUUGAGGUAGGCGGAAUUGACGGUGUAGCGGUGAAAUGCUUAGAUAUCGUCAAGAACACCGAUAGGGAAGACAGCUUACCAAGCUUCAACUGACGCUGAGGCACGAAAGUGUGGGGAGCAAACAGG
rnacentral:rRNA from 1 species